rnacentral:rRNA from 1 species
UGGCUCAGAACGAACGCUGGCGGCGUGCUUAACACAUGCAAGUCGAACGCGAAAGGGACUUCGGUCCUGAGUAAAGUGGCGCACGGGUGAGUAACGCGUAGAUAACCUGUCUUCAUGUCUGGAAUAAUACGCCGAAAGGGGUACUAAUACCGGAUAUUCUUGCUUUUCAUAAGUUAUGCAAGCAAAGGUGGCCUCUGCAUAUGCUACUGCAUGAAGAGGGGUCUGCGUACCAUUAGCUAGUAGGUGGGGUAAUGGCCUACCUAGGCGACGAUGGUUAGCGGGUCUGAGAGGAUGAUCCGCCACACUGGCACUGGAACACGGGCCAGACUCCUACGGGAGGCAGCAGUGAGGAAUAUUGCGCAAUGGGGGAAACCCUGACGCAGCGACGCCGCGUGAGUUGAGGAAGGCCUUCGGGUCGUAAAGCUCUGUCAAGAGGAAAGAAGUGUACAAUGGCUAAUACCUGUUGUAUUUGACGGUACCUCUAAAGGAAGCACCGGCUAACUCCGUGCCAGCCGCCGC